CACCCCACCCCACCCCACCCCCCGCAUCACGUGCUGCCGCGUGCUACGGACGAUUACCGCACGUCGUCGUAAGAAGUACCGGGACAGGCAAGGCGACGCAGAUACGGCUCGGUAGGUGUCGAUAAGUUGUUCGCUGACAGAGAAUUGCCGACGAACGGGUGAGCGGACGGUCGGCGACGGACGCCGUAGCGACGCGCGCACGCGUUUGCGCGUACUGCAGGGGAUCUCGGGGACGAGCCACGAAAGCGCCGGUAACGGUUACGGCGACGACGGGGAACGACCGCGCACGGCCUCGUAGAGCGAGAGCGCCGCGAUUCGACCGUCGGGCGUGGCGCGACGCGAACGCGCGACCGUGCCACGACGACGGCUACGCGCGGUGGUUCCUCGUUACAGCCCGGGAGCCGCCCUACCGCCGACGGCGCGAGAGACGACCCUCGGUUCUCGCGACCCGGAAGAACAGCGGCGCUCGUACGAGUCCUAACGACUGCGAAUCUGGUUAACGAACAAAGGAAGGAAGGAGAACGGAAAGCCUUACGAGCGCGAACGUUAAGCGUAGUGCUACGACGUCGCCGCCCAAGCGAGAGGAAGACGGGUAAGAGGCGGAUCCAAAAACUGAAAAACCCCCAAAACCGAAAACAGUUUAAGUAGAGCGAUAAAGACGUGAAAUAAACGAAUGCUGUCUUUUUAAAACAAAAAAAAAAAACAAAAAAACAACAAAAAAA